rnacentral:lncRNA from 1 species
AAAGGGCAAACUUAUCUCAGUCAUGGUUGUGAUUAUUUUUUGGGAAAAAGUAGCAAUUUAUAACAAAAUCAUAUGCUUAUCCUACAUACACUAUAGAAAGUAUUAAAACACUAUUUAAUUCAAUGAAUAAGUUCUUAUUUUCUUUGGUAUUUUUGUGAUUAGCAAUGAUGAUUGCUGGGUAAUAUGUAUGUUGUUGUCCAAUGUCAAGUCUCUAUUUGAUCAUGUGACAAUACAAUACGCUAUAGUUAAACCAAUUCUGAUAACCUAGGUCUGAAGGUCUGAUAACCUAGCUCAUUGAGCACUGCACAGCACAACUUUACUCGUAACAAUGCCUUUUAAGCACAAGAGUGGAAGUAGAAAAGGGCAAGAGAAAAAAGAACAGGAUGAGAAGGCGGCAAAGCUGCCCAAAUUAGAUUAUUUUGGCUUUUGAAUUGCCGUCAACUAGUCGCCAGAUCACGGAGUCAGUUCAGCUGGGAUCAGAAUCGCUGGUUCUGCCCUCAGUGGUGUGUCAGCAACCAUGCAACAGUUAACAAUUGUUACGACCCAGCUGAGCCGAGUGGAUCGAUGGCAGGUCGACCGAGCCCAGACACUGUGUGUGUGCACUUGAGUGCUGACGCUGUGACAUCAGAGGACACCCACCCCAGUGCAGUCCUCCUCUGGGGCGACCAUCAUGGGCAUUUCAAAGAGAGCCGCUUCCACCAUGGCAACACAGUGAAGGAGAUGAGUACAGGUCCAGCGGUGCUACGAAAGGUCAGUUCCAGGGAGAAACUGGCAAGGUGUGUGUGACUGUGUGUGUGUGUGUGUGUGCUUGCGUGUAUGCAUGUGUGUGAGAGAGAGAGAGAGAGAGAGAAAGAGGAAGAGGAAAGAAACAAAUUAAGGUAGAUGACAAGAUGACAUUAGCGCAAUUAGCACAUAAGGUCCAAG